GCCUCUUCUUCUUAUCUUUCUCUUAAGGAUUUUUAUAGAAAAUCUUUGAUCUAUAAAGAUCCAACGGUUCGAUCUUCAAUCCGAUUUCGGUAAUGUGAUCUACAAAGCCCGAUCUACGUUUCUACCGAUUGGUUUGAGGAUUUUUUUUGUGGAGCUUGCUAAACACUCUCCAAGUCUUGGAUUUACAUUUGGUGGAAUUUUUGACAUUGUUGCUUUGGUUGCAGGUUUUGCGGAUAUAGAUAUUGACUCAUCCACCUGGCGUAUGAGAUGUUAUGAUUGGAGCACAACGCGACAUUCAUAAGUCACAGACUCAUGGGUAGUUCGCAAUUUGGGUAUUUUAUUUAUGGCUCGUGUCCUACGUGGAUAUGUAUUUGUUGAGCCUGUACUCUAUUAUGUAUUUAGUGUAAUAUGUUUUAUAAGCUUUAAUCAGUUAGACAUGUAAAUGGCUCUUGUUGUU